rnacentral:misc_RNA from 1 species
AACCAUUCUCACCUGCGGCUAGACCUGCGGAGGGAUCAUUACCGAGUGAGGGCCCUCCGGGUCCAACCUCCCACCCGUGUUUAACGAACCUUGUUGCUUCGGCGGGCCCGCCUCACGGCCGCCGGGGGGCACCCCGCCCCCGGGCCCGCGCCCGCCGAAGACACCUGUGAACGCUGUCUGAAGUUGCAGUCUGAGACACUAGCUCAAUCAGUUAAAACUUUCAACAAUGGAUCUCAGAUC